rnacentral:rRNA from 1 species
UGGGGAAUUUUGGACAAUGGGGGAAACCCGUGAUCCAGCCAUCCCGCGUGUGCGAUGAAGGCCUUCGGGUUGUAAAGCACUUUUGGCAGGAAAGAAACGUCGCGGGUUAAUACCCCGCGAAACUGACGGUACCUGCAGAAUAAGCACCGGCUAACUACGUGCCAGCAGCCGCGGUAAUACGUAGGGUGCAAGCGUUAAUCGGAAUUACUGGGCGUAAAGCGUGCGCAGGCGGUUCGGAAAGAAAGAUGUGAAAUCCCAGAGCUUAACUUUGGAACUGCAUUUUUAACUACCGGGCUAGAGUGUGUCAGAGGGAGGUGGAAUUCCGCGUGUAGCAGUGAAAUGCGUAGAUAUGCGGAGGAACACCGAUGGCGAAGGCAGCCUCCUGGGAUAACACUGACGCUCAUGCACGAAAGCGUGGGGAGCAAACAGGAUUAGAUACCCUGGUAGUCCACGCCCUAAACGAUGUCAACUAGCUGUUGGGGCCUUCGGGCCUUGGUAGCGCAGCUAACGCGUGAAGUUGACCGCCUGGGGAGUACGGUCGCAAGAUUAAAACUCAAAGGAA